UACCAUUUUUAUUGAUAAGUUGACUUCAGCAAGAUAACUUCAAAAACUAAUUUUAAUGAAAAAAAAUAUUUUUAAAUAACAAUUUCCAUCUUCAGUGGUAAAGUUGCAUCUUCAGGGCUUGUAGGUUUAGUUCAGUCAGACAAAGUCAGAGAGCCGUGUCUCUCUACAGUGAGAGGUUUUUGUACGGCGGCUCAAUGAGUUUGUAUCACUGUGGUUGACUUUUGGUGGAGGAACCAGACUGGAUGUUGGAAGUGAUGCCCGUCCCACCAUGACGGUGCUGCCCCCCUCCACUGAGCAGCUGCAGCAGGGGACGGCCACGCUCAUGUGCCUGGCCAACAAGGGCUUCCCCUCAGACUGGAGUCUGGCCUGGAAGGUGGACGGCAGCAGCAGCAGCAGCAGCAGCAGCAGCAGCAGCAGCAGCAGCAGCAGCAGCAUCAGCUGGGAGCAGAGCAGCAGCCCCGGGGUGCUGGAGAAGGACGGCCACUACAGCUGGAGCAGCACCCUGAGGCUCUCUGCAGACCAGUGGAGGAAGGUGGGCUCUGUGACCUGUGAGGCCACCCAGGGCUCCCAGACUCCGCUCUCAGAGACUCUGAGGAGAGACCAGUGUCCCCAGUCCUGAUCUGACUCACUGGUUUUACUCUGCUACUGCUCUCAGUCUGCACUCUGUAACUCUUUCUUUCUCACACGUUCUUGCUUGUGUUGAUGCUUUCAACAUUUUCAAAUAAUAAAGAUUGGAUCAUGUGUAUUAUGAAAGUAUUGUGUUCCUUUGUUUGUUACUAUAGUCAUUUUUGUUUGUUAAUCUGAUGAAUAUUCUGAAUAUAUAGGUCAAUCAAGAGUACUUUUUAGUGUUUUUAAAAGGUCAUUCUUGCAUUGUUGAUCUAUUGUAUGUACAAUGUUUUGUCUAUUCAACUAGUUCAUGCCCUUGAAGAUUUGAUUUUUAAUGUGUUGUUAAAUAUUCUGAAGAUCUGAAAUAUAAAAUAUAAAUAAUAAUAGAAAUGAUUCACAACAUUAUAAAUAAAAAAGAAGCGUAUUGUCUGCAUAAAGUGUUAUAUCAAGAAUUGAAUUUGGGAUUUUAAACAAACAAGCAAGCAUGAUUGCUUGUUUUCAACUUUUUAAAUGUAUCAUUUUUAUAAUUCGAUAACUCUCAGAGACUCUGAGGAUAGACCAGAGUCCCCAGUCCUGACCUGACUCACUGGUUUUACUCUAAUGCAGAGUGCAGACUGAGAGCAGCAGCACUUUCCCUUUGUCAAUGUCUUUUUUUCCAUCAUGUGCUCAUCUUAAUAUUCUUAAACU